rnacentral:rRNA from 1 species
AACGAACGCUGGCGGCAGGCCUAACACAUGCAAGUCGAGCGAGGACUUCGGUCCUAGCGGCGGACGGGUGAGUAACGUGUGGGAACGUGCCCUUUGCUUCGGAAUAGCCCUGGGAAAUUGGGAGUAAUAUCGGAUGAGCCCUUUUGGGGAAAGAUUUAUCGGCGAAGGAUCGGCCCGCGUUGGAUUAGGUAGUUGGUGGGGUAAUGGCCUACCACGCCGACGAUCCAUAGCUGGUUUGAGAGGAUGAUCAGCCACACUGGGACUGAGACACGGCCCAGACUCCUACGGGAGGCAGCAGUGGGGAAUCUUAGACAAUGGGGGGAACACUGAUCGAGCCAUGCCGCGUAAGCGAUGAAGGCCUUAGGGUUGUAAAGCUCUUUCAGCUGGGAAGAUAAUGACGGUACCAGCAGAAGAAGCCCCGGCUAACUCCGUG